rnacentral:rRNA from 1 species
AAAUUGAAGAGUUUGAUCAUGGCUCAGAUUGAACGCUGGCGGCAGGCCUAACACAUGCAAGUCGAGCGGUAGCACAGAGAGCUUGCUCUCGGGUGACGAGCGGCGGACGGGUGAGUAAUGUCUGGGAAACUGCCUGAUGGAGGGGGAUAACUACUGGAAACGGUAGCUAAUACCGCAUAAUGUCGCAAGACCAAAGUGGGGGACCUUCGGGCCUCAUGCCAUCAGAUGUGCCCAGAUGGGAUUAGCUUGUAGGUGGGGUAACGGCUCACCUAGGCGACGAUCCCUAGCUGGUCUGAGAGGAUGACCAGCCACACUGGAACUGAGACACGGUCCAGACUCCUACGGGAGGCAGCAGUGGGGAAUAUUGCACAAUGGGCGCAAGCCUGAUGCAGCCAUGCCGCGUGUGUGAAGAAGGCCUUCGGGUUGUAAAGCACUUUCAGCGGGGAGGAAGGCGGUGAGGUUAAUAACCUCAUCGAUUGACGUUACCCGCAGAAGAAGCACCGGCUAACUCCGUGCCAGCAGCCGCGGUAAUACGGAGGGUGCAAGCGUUAAUCGGAAUUACUGGGCGUAAAGCGCACGCAGGCGGUCUGUCAAGUCGGAUGUGAAAUCCCCGGGCUCAACCUGGGAACUGCAUUCGAAACUGGCAGGCUAGAGUCUUGUAGAGGGGGGUAGAAUUCCAGGUGUAGCGGUGAAAUGCGUAGAGAUCUGGAGGAAUACCGGUGGCGAAGGCGGCCCCGACAAAGACUGACGCUCAGGUGCGAAAGCGUGGGGAGCAAACAGGAUUAGAUACCGGUAGUCCACGCCGUAAACGAUGUCGAUUUGGAGGUUGUGCCCUUGAGGCGUGGCUUCCGGAGCUAACGCGUUAAAUCGACCGCCUGGGGAGUACGGCCGCAAGGUUAAAACUCAAAUGAAUUGACGGGGGCCCGCACAAGCGGUGGAGCAUGUGGUUUAAUUCGAUGCAACGCGAAGAACCUUACCUGGUCUUGACAUCCACAGAACUUAGCAGAGAUGCUUUGGUGCCUUCGGGAACUGUGAGACAGGUGCUGCAUGGCUGUCGUCAGCUCGUGUUGUGAAAUGUUGGGUUAAGUCCCGCAACGAGCGCAACCCUUAUCCUUUGUUGCCAGCGGUCCGGCCGGGAACUCAAAGGAGACUGCCAGUGAUAAACUGGAGGAAGGUGGGGAUGACGUCAAGUCAUCAUGGCCCUUACGACCAGGGCUACACACGUGCUACAAUGGCAUAUACAAAGAGAAGCGACCUCGCGAGAGCAAGCGGACCUCAUAAAGUAUGUCGUAGUCCGGAUUGAGUCUGCAACUCGACUCCAUGAAGUCGGAAUCGCUAGUAAUCGUAGAUCAGAAUGCUACGGUGAAUACGUUCCCGGGCCUUGUACACACCGCCCGUCACACCAUGGGAGUGGGUUGCAAAAGAAGUAGGUAGCUUAACCUUCGGGAGGGCGCUUACCACUUUGUGAUUCAUGACUGGGGUGAAGUCGUAACAAGGUAACCGUAGGGGAACCUGCGGUUGGAUCACCUCCUUACCUUAAAGAA